rnacentral:tRNA from 1 species
GUUAGGGUGGCAGAGCCCGGUAAUGCAAAAGACCUAAGCCCUUUAUAACAGAAGUUCAAAUCCUCUCCCUAACA